GUUAUAAAUGGUACUAGACAUUCGACAAAAUUGGAAUGCCUAGAGAAGAUUAGCACAGUCUCUGCACAAAGAUGAUUAGUAUAAAUCGAAAAAUCAUUCAAAUCAUG